rnacentral:rRNA from 1 species
GACGAACGCUGGCGGCGUGCUUAACACAUGCAAGUCGAACGGAAAGGCCCUGCUUUUGUGGGGUGCUCGAGUGGCGAACGGGUGAGUAACACGUGAGUAACCUGCCCUUGACUUUGGGAUAACUUCAGGAAACUGGGGCUACUACCGUAUAGGAGCUCCUGCUGCAUGGUGGGGGUUGGAAAGUUUCGGCGGUUGGGGUUGGACUCGCGGCUUAUGAGCUUGUUGGUGGGGUAGUGGCUUACCAAGGCUUUGACGGGUAGCCGGCCUGUGAGGGUGACCGGGCACAGAGGGACAGAGAAACGGCCCAGAGGCAAACGGGAGGAAGGAGUGGGGAAUAUAGCACAAUGGGCGGAAGCGGGAUGGAGGAACGCCGGGUGCGGGAGGACGGCCUUCGGGUAGGAAACGGAUUUGGCUUGUGACGAGGCGUGAGGGAGGGUAAUGGGGAAAGAAGCACCGGCUAACUAGGG